CCAGGCACCCCUGUCCUCCACUGCCUCCCGCAGUUUAGUCAAACUCAUGCUGGUAGCUUCGAGAACACUAUCCAACCAUCUCGUCCCUGUUGUCCCCUUCUCCUUGUGCCCUCCAUCUUUCCCAACAUCAGGGUCUUUUCCAGGGAGACUUCUCUUCUCAUGAGGUGGCCAAAGUAUUGGAGUCUCAGCUUCAGGAUCUGUCCUUCCAGUGAGCACUCAGGGCUG